GGGGAGGACUGGGAAAGGAAAGUCCUUCCCGGCCACACCAUCUCUGCACUGAGGUGCGCUCCAGCUUCUGUGAAAGCGGCUCCCGCUAAAGGGGCUCCCACCGCAGCCCUCGCAGUGCUGUCCAGUCAAGUGGGGCGUUUCCAGCCGCCUCUGCCCUGGGACACAGCCCGGUCAGGAGAGGGGAGUCACACCGCUUAUUUUACCGAGAAAACGUCAUGUGAAGAAUGUAGCCGAGAGGCUAAAGAGACAACUCUGAGUCGCCAUGAGGUAUCCACUGUGGGCUGCGGCCGCGCGCCUAGCAGAGGGCACGAAGGGCAGGGCUUGGAGCUCUUAGGCCUCAGAAGGCCGCGGGAAGGCCGGUGCACCUCCAGCGCGGGACCUAAUGGCUGCUGCGCGGGGCAUCGGCGGGGGCCGACGUCACAAAGAGGUCGCUCCCGUCACGCCAACGCAGCAAAAAGGUUGCUCCCUUCAAGCCCACCUCACAAAGAGGUUGCUCCUUUAACGCCCACCUCACAAAGGGGUCGCUUCCGCACAUGCACGACUCAGCCGCAACGGCGUGCGACGCGCAGGCGCCGGGAAGCCCACUGGGCGGAAACUGGAGCGAGCCCGCCCUCCUCCAGCCCCGCGGCCUCCCUUUCGCGCCCCCUAUCGGCAGGGCCAGUGGGGCAGCAGAAGCGUGGCUCGCAGGGCCCAGCCCCAGCCACAUGCACCGAGCUGAGCGCGCGCUGGCCUGUGUGGAGCCCAGGCAAGAACGGAGUAACUGGUACAGAGGAGACUUUGCGUUUUCAGGAAUGCAGUGUCCCGUUUCCAGGAGCUCUGCAGAGUCUCAUCCAUCCCUGGGGAAGGAAGACACCCGGCUGCAAUCAAGAACCCCGCACCCGUCCAGGUCUCAGCUCGUGCCGUCACCCCUGAGGCUGGAACAGUCUCUGAAGAGGGGCUGCACAGUUCCACGGGGGAAACUGUGAAGGAAAACAUAGGCCUGGCCUGUCAGCGGGGGAGUCCCAGAAAACGCUCUGGUCAGUCGGCGCUUGAAGAUAAAACUCAGCCAUAGAAGGGUAAGCUUUCAUAAAGUGGAAAGAAAUAUCUGUAGCCAGAGGUGGAUAUAAGAAUAGCAUAGACAGCACAGGGAACAAAGCGAGACCCCGUUUCUACAAAAAAUACAAAAAUUAGUCGGACGCUGUGGCGCACGCCUGUGUUCCCAGCUGCUCGGGAGGCUGAGGUGGGAGGAUCUUUUGAACCUGGAGGUUGAGGCUGCAGUGAGCUACAGUCAGGCUACUGCACUCCAGCCUUGGUGACAGUGCAAGACCGUGUCAUUAAAAUGACUUGAGGAGGAGGAAAGGAUCUAUUCAGGGCCAGCAAAUGUCUACUUUAAAACACUAUUGUGAGGAUAGAGUCUGAAAUUUUAAAUUAAAAAUGAGCACAGACGUGGACAAGCACUCAAUAAACAAACAGAACCUUUAUGUAUGUAGUCUAAGAGGGGGUCAGGGAGUCCAUUUACUGCAGCAUUAGCCUGAGGUUGAAAAGUGGGCUCAAAUAUUUUAAUAUUCUAGAAUGUUUGUUUGCUUGAGUAAAAAUCAGAAGGGGUAAUUAUGGGAUGACGGUGAUAGUCUAAGUGUAAUUUUUAAAAUCUCUUCAGGUCCUCCAUACAAAUAGGUAGAGCAAAAUGGACAACAUCUGCAAUAAAACUAGGUAACAAGUUUUAUCCACAAGCCUCAAGAUGAAAGCCAUUGGGGACAAAUCCCUUAUAGCUAGGUCCAUGUGGCACCAGCAUCUGAAAGGAGUGAGCUGAGGGAAGCAACACAAUAUCUUAUGGAUCUGAGAGCAGAAGACUCAAAGCACUCCUGGAUAAUUACCUGACAGUAGUGGGCUUAUUUGUAAACAGCAGAUGAAAUAGGGAAAACAUUUUUCAUUUCCGUUCACACAUGAAUGCAGAGUUUAAAGAAGCGUUCACUCUUGGUGUGAUAUAUUCCAUGGGUUUUGACAAAGGUAUAAUGACAUCUAUCCACCAUUAUAAUAUUGUACACAAUAGUUUAAUUGCCCUAAAGUUCCUCUGUGCUCUGUUUAUACCUCUCUCCCAGCUGCUUCUGCAACCACUAAUCUUUUUACUAUUUCUAUGGUUUUGCUGUUCCCAAUGUGUCUUACAGUUGGAGUCACAUAGUUUGUACCCUUUGCAGAUUAGCUUCUUUCAUGUCCUGUUCCUGUUGCUUCACAUCCUUGCCAGCAUUUGAUGUUGGUGUUUUAGAUUUUGGCAUUCUAAUAGAUGUGUAGUGGUAAUCUUCUUAUUGUUUUAAUUUACAAUUCCAUAAUGAUGUAUGAUGUUGUGCAUCUUUUCAUAUGCUUAGUUGGCAUA
ensembl:lncRNA